rnacentral:rRNA from 1 species
AACCGUGUACGUACAAGCAGUGGGAGCACAGGUUUACCUGUGUGACUGCGUACCUUUUGUAUAAUGGGUCAGCGACUUAUAUUCUGUAGCAAGGUUAACCGUAUAGGGGAGCCGGAGGGAAACCGAGUCUUAAUUGGGCGUUAAGUUGCAGGGUAUAGACCCGAAACCCGGUGAUCUAGCCAUGGGCAGGUUGAAGGUUGGGUAACACUAACUGGAGGACCGAACCGACUAAUGUUGAAAAAUUAGCGGAUGACCUGUGGCUGGGGGUGAAAGGCCAAUCAAACCGGGAGAUAGCUGGUUCUCCCCGAAAGCUAUUUAGGUAGCGCCUCGUGAAUUCAUCUCCGGGGGUAGAGCACUGUUUCGGCUAGGGGGCCAUCCCGGCUUACCAACCCGAUGCAAACUGCGAAUACCGGAGAAUGUUAUCACGGGAGACACACGGCGGGUGCUAACGUCCGUCGUGAAGAGGGAAACAACCCAGACCGCCAGCUAAGGUCCCAAAGUCAUGGUUAAGUGGGAAACGAUGUGGGAAGGCCCAGACAGCCAGGAUGUUGGCUUAGAAGCAGCCAUCAUUUAAAGAAAGCGUAAUAGCUCACUGGUCGAGUCGGCCUGCGCGGAAGAUGUAACGGGGCUAAACCAUGCACCGAAGCUGCGGCAGCGACACUGUGUGUUGUUGGGUAGGGGAGCGUUCUGUAAGCCUGUGAAGGUGUGUCGUGAGGCAUGCUGGAGGUAUCAGAAGUGCGAAUGCUGACAUAAGUAACGAUAAAGCGGGUGAAAAGCCCGCUCGCCGGAAGACCAAGGGUUCCUGUCCAACGUUAAUCGGGGCAGGGUGAGUCGACCCCUAAGGCGAGGCCGAAAGGCGUAGUCGAUGGGAAACGGGUUAAUAUUCCCGUACUUGGUGUUACUGCGAAGGGGGGACGGAGAAGGCUAUGUUGGCCGGGCGACGGUUGUCCCGGUUUAAGCGUGUAGGUGUGUGUUCCAGGUAAAUCCGGUUCACUUUAACACUGAGGCGUGACGACGAGGCACUACGGUGCUGAAGCAACAAAUGCCCUGCUUCCAGGAAAAGCCUCUAAGCAUCAGGUAACAUCAAAUCGUACCCCAAACCGACACAGGUGGUCAGGUAGAGAAUACCAAGGCGCUUGAGAGAACUCGGGUGAAGGAACUAGGCAAAAUGGUGCCGUAACUUCGGGAGAAGGCACGCUGACACGUAGGUGAAGUGAUUUACUCAUGGAGCUGAAGUCAGUCGAAGAUACCAGCUGGCUGCAACUGUUUAUUAAAAACACAGCACUGUGCAAACACGAAAGUGGACGUAUACGGUGUGACGCCUGCCCGGUGCCGGAAGGUUAAUUGAUGGGGUCAGCGCAAGCGAAGCUCCUGAUCGAAGCCCCGGUAAACGGCGGCCGUAACUAUAACGGUCCUAAGGUAGCGAAAUUCCUUGUCGGGUAAGUUCCGACCUGCACGAAUGGCGUAAUGAUGGCCAGGCUGUCUCCACCCGAGACUCAGUGAAAUUGAACUCGCUGUGAAGAUGCAGUGUACCCGCGGCAAGACGGAAAGACCCCGUGAACCUUUACUAUAGCUUGACACUGAACAUUGAGCCUUGAUGUGUAG